GCUGUGGCUCAAUGGGAGAGCAUCUGCUUUGCAUGCAGAAGGUCUCAGGUUCGAUUCCUAGCAUCUCCA